rnacentral:rRNA from 1 species
AACGCUAGCUACAGGCUUAACACAUGCAAGUCGAGGGGCAGCAUGAUUGAAGCUUGCUUCAAUUGAUGGCGACCGGCGCACGGGUGAGUAACACGUAUCCAACCUUCCGUACACUCAGGGAUAGCCUUUCGAAAGAAAGAUUAAUACCCGAUGGUAUCUUAAGCGCACAUGCAAAUAAGAUUAAAGAUUUAUCGGUGUACGAUGGGGAUGCGUUCCAUUAGGUAGUAGGCGGGGUAACGGCCCACCUAGUCGACGAUGGAUAGGGGUUCUGAGAGGAAGGUCCCCCACAUUGGAACUGAGACACGGUCCAAACUCCUACGGGAGGCAGCAGUGAGGAAUAUUGGUCAAUGGGCGCGAGCCUGAACCAGCCAAGUAGCGUGAAGGAUGAAGGUCCUACGGAUUGUAAACUUCUUUUAUAAGGGAAUAAAACCUCCCACGUGUGGGAGCUUGUAUGUACCUUAUGAAUAAGCAUCGGCUAACUCCGUGCCAGCAGCCGCGGUAAUACGGAGGAUGCGAGCGUUAUCCGGAUUUAUUGGGUUUAAAGGGAGCGCAGACGGGUCGUUAAGUCAGCUGUGAAAGUUUGGGGCUCAACCUUAAAAUUGCAGUUGAUACUGGCGUCCUUGAGUGCGGUUGAGGUGUGCGGAAUUCGUGGUGUAGCGGUGAAAUGCUUAGAUAUCACGAAGAACUCCGAUUG